rnacentral:lncRNA from 1 species
ACCAUAGUAAAGUUUCUUAAUAAUUUUUCAACGUUUCCAUAAGCUUAAACCACUCUGGCUUACCAUGUCUUAUGCUAAGGCAGCUCUGCAUGUGCUCUUGAGCCGGUUGAAAAUGUGGCUUACGUGUAAAAUAACUCUUUAUAGAAGCUUAUGCUGAAAAAUUCAGAUGGGUUUAGCGCAAUGGCUUUAGCACUGAUGAUACCAGAGAGAUCUUAGUGAAAAAUAGUGUGCUAGUCUCAAGCAGGCGUAGUUCAGAGAUGCAGCAGUAAAGUCAUUGCAUCAAAAGAAAAUGAAGGUUGAAAAAUGAUGUAUUUCCUGAAAAUAAUUGCUUCCUAUCAACUUAACUGUUGGCUCAUGUUGAACUGUUGUCACCAGCUGUUUCUCUGUCUUUUAAGAAAAGAAAAAGUAGAAUUUUUACAAGCAAAUGUUGAUGUUCUAAUGAUAACUACAGGCCUUACUGAGAUUAUUUUUACUGUUUGGAUUAUCAGCUGCAUAGGUUGGUAAGAGCCUAAGAGUUCAAAUGCAAGUCUGUUUAAAAAAUGAUCACCAAACUGAUGCUCUUUGAACCACAGAACAAAAGUGAGCAGUUAUGUAAUUUUUUAUUGUUUAAAAAUAAUACACUGGAGUUCUUGAAAAAUCGUCAAUAAGUAUUUCCUUUUGCCAGUUCUAUGCCUCUGGGAUAAAGUAAAACAGCUUAAAUAUUUAGUGCUCAUGCAAAACUAUACCAGUAGAUUUACACUACUACAGAAGUUUCCAGAUUGUGUAUUUAGCUUUAUACUAUUACACAACAGUUGGUCUUCAAAUAUGGGAGCGCUACUAUCAUUCCAUUUUUUCCUUUUAGUUGAUCUUUCACACAUUGAUUCCUUCUUUUUAGCCUGCAAUACUGAAUUCUGCACUGAGCAAGGAACCUGGACACACACAACUUGAAGGUUACUUGUAUCUGAUGCAGGAAUGACAAUGCAUAUCCUUGCUUUCUUUAGUUGGCCCCAUCAGAAAAAGAGAUGAUGCAGUAAGAAAGUUUUGAGGGGAAGAAAGAUUCCAGCUAAAGUAGAGCAUUAGUAGUCAUCAGCUAGAAAAUAAAAAGGUUAAGAGAAAGAGAUUAAUAGAUUUUUUGCAAUAGGAAAGAUACAAGAAGAGCAUUUGAGACUUAAGCAAAUGAAAACACUAACUCUUACUUUCAAUGGUGAGAAUACAGGUGCUAGCAGAUGUGCCUCUGUUGUUGACUGCUUUACACAUAUAUUCACCUUCAUCUUCUGGGAAGGUUUCGGGCAGAUAAAGGCAAUAGGUUUCUCCUCUUUCAAUAUAUUGAUAGUCCUCAGAGUCCUGCAACAUUUCCCCCUCGAACCACCAUGUGACUUGAGGUUUUGGUUCUCCAGUAAUUUUAACUGUAAAUCUCACUGGCUCACCAUCAACAACUGAUGUGUUUUUCAGUGACUUCUUGAACCAGGGAGCUCCAGAUCGAGCUUGAUCUUCCUCAUCUUCACAAGUAGAACCAUUAAUAACACUUCCCUCAUCAUCUUCUUCCUCUUCCCUUUUCUGUUUUAAAAUAAUCCAGUUUAGAAUUUUCAGAGUAGCAAUAGCAGCAUGACUGCUAGUAACACAUACUUGAUUACAGAAAAGCUGUUUUUAAGAAGGGGAGAUGCCUGUCUAUGCUAAAAAAAACAAUGUUCUGAAUAUGGAACAAGCAAUAAAUGCUGUCUAAAAUUUGUUCUCAUGAAGCUGGUAUGGCUGGUGUCUUAGGGGAAAGUAUAUGAAUAGUGAUUAGUGAUUCCGUGAAUAGUGAAUAGUGAUUCCAUUUUCAGAAUAUUCAAAGGAAACUGUGCUUUCAUUGCAGUACAUUUCUCACGCUCUUCAAAAUAUUAAAAACUCAAAAGCAAUUAGUUACACGAAUGCAAUAAUUUAUAUAAAUACAAAUUAUUUAUACUCCUUUUAUACUCCUGGCAUUGUUGCCAUCAGUGGUAAUCGGAAGCCAAGUUAAAUGACACUGAGGACUGAAGAAAAGGUACUUUGUAAUCUCUACCUUCUGUAAUGCAGCAUCAAUUUCUUUUUGUUCGAACUGCAUGCGUAGUAAUUUUUGUUCUUCAAUUCUCCUCUGUUCUUCUUCUUCCCUAGCCCUUGCCAUUUGCUCAAAACGUGCCUUCAUAUUUACUUUAUGAGUAAAUGGAGCCUCAGAUUUCUUGGCUGGUCUCACAUCUACCUCAUCAUCCUUGGGGAAAAAAAAAAGAAGAGGGCAUUACUCAUGUUUUACUUUUUAAAUGUCCAUAGUAAUAGUACCAAUUUAAUACAUCAAUAAUUUUUAACUGUGCAAAGCCACCCUCAGUCCUCUUGGUUAUUUUUCUCCCCACACAUUUGUUUAAUGUUGGAUUUAAAAUGAAGUCUCUUAAUAAUUUCUCAGGUUGUGAGAUGGGUGGUUUUUUUCCCCCUGAAAAUUACCAGAAACGUUGCAGUUGAUGAACCUUAAUCUAAUAUUUCAAUGAGAAGUUUUUCUAAAAAAAAUUCGUUUAUUGGGUCUGCAAGGGGUGGAUUCAAGAAACAGAAUGUAUUGCACAUGUAGAAGUCUGUACUAUGAAUUCAGAUGUUUCCUAUAAUGUCCCACUCUCGAUCACACUUUAUUAGCUGUAAUUUGUUGUAACACUACAGAAAUAACUUUGGCUACAGCCAAAGAUUAGAGAUUGGAUUAGAGAUGAUAAACUAUUAAACAAAGGUAAGGAAAAAAGAAUGCAGGAUUUUUGAAAAAUACAUUUACUGCUUCUUUAAGGACAGUUGUAAAGCACUGAAGUGAAUUGUCUUAGGAUAUACAUUUUUAUACUGGGGAGCAAAGUAAGCGUGCUUAGCAGUGGCCUUACUAAAUAUGUAUCCUUUCUUGUUUUGAGAAGUAGUAGUGAUUUUUAUUAGGUUUCUUGCCUCAAAAAGAAUACUCAGACUUUUUUUGCAACCGCCCAUGCUUGGAUUUUGGGUUGUUUGGGGGUUUUUGUCAUUUUUGUUGAUUUUGGUUUGUUUUUCCUACAGCUAAUUUUACAGAGAAUUUAAUUUUCUUCACCUCAGAUGGGGAGAAUAAAUCCUAUUGGACCUAUGCUGUAAUUCUCCAUAUUCCUGUCCAAGGAAAAAUCCUAUUUUCCCAAGAAUCCACGAAGUAUAGAAAUAAUAACUGGAAUGUUUGCUUUCCCUUACUGUCACGUAGUAGAGAGAUGGCACUUUGCAACUAGCUGGUGUCUUAGAAGUCACUGCUGAUUUGCUUGUACCAGUUCUUUUCUUAUUUGUGCUAUUGGCCUUUUUAUUUGUGGCCUUGAAAAGCAGGCCUUCCCAAUUAAGUUGUCUGCUCUGUGGGCUGUUCUUUAGCUGGGCUUGUUCUCCAUUUUUUGGAAAAUAAUCAACUUAAUGAUCAUAGAAAAUUAUUGUAGAGUAGAUGAGAGAAGGGAGAAGAUUAUAGAUAGAAAUAUAAAAUAUUUGCAGAAUAUUUUCUAAAGCUUUUACUUUCAUGUGUGAGUUGCAUACCCUCCUGGGGCAGUGGUAAGUCCUUAGUCACUUAACUUCUAUGUCAUGGUGUUCUGGCUUCAACACUUAGGCAGGUUGUUGACCUGAUGUCAGUGUCACUCGUUAAAUGAAAAGUUUAAAAAGUUCUGAGCUGAUACUGAAGUGAAUGAUUGUGGAUAUUAAAGCCUCAGUAUGGGGCUUUAAUUUAUAUGGUGGAGAACAAGUUAGAGUUCGGAAUGAGCAGCGACUUUUAUGACCAUUAAUAGAACAGACUCAAAAAUCAGCAUGUUUCAGCACCUCAGGCCAACAGGUUGUUAAGGCGCUGAAUUAAAGUAUGAGCAGAAAAACAGAUCUCUGCUUGAGUGCAAAUGAUUGAUGAUAAUAAACUGGUGCUGUUUCUCUUAGAGAUGCCACCAUCAUAUGUCCAAAGAAGGGAACAGAGAAGUGGGGACAGAAUCAUGUUAAAAAUACAGCAAAUUUUGGUGAAAGCAGUAUUGCCCAGUACUAUCAGUUGUGUUAGUUAAGUAAAUCAUUACCAUACAGAAUACAAAUUACCUCUUGAAACUUCUCAGCUUCCCUUUCUCUUAUUUCUUCAUCCAUUGCUCUUCUUUUGGCUCGUUCUUCUUCAAUCUUCUUUUGUAUUUCUUCUUGAGACAAUUGUCCUAUCUUCUCAAACUUGCUUUUCAGAUUCUUCGCUUGAAUAGAACCACUUCUUUUUAGCUUUAUUAAUUCUUCAUAUUCUUUGCUUAGCUCAAAAGUUUCAGACUCCUCUUCCAGCUGUUAGAAAUAACAGAACAUAUAAGAUAGAAAAUAUCCUGGUUAUUUUCACUACCUGUUCUCCCCAUAGAUUGGUGUUAUUUGAAUACUUGAACAAUUCUUUUAGCUUGGAGUUAUUAGAAGGAAAAGGUCUUCAACGUGAAAUAACUUUUCUCUCGGUGUGGUCUGGACUCUACUGAGUUUAUAGCAUCUUUAAGCUUUAAUUUUAAAAUAUUUUUUCUCUGGUUUUACAGAACAAAUAAAUGAGAUUUCAGGAUGUCACGGCUGGAAAAGAAGUGACAUUUCUGGAGACUGCAGUCAAACUAUGUCUGAUGCUGCAAUUGUUUAUAUUCUGCUCUAUCACUUCAUGACCUCUGAUGGCAGUAAGAGAAUGCAUUUUAGUUGUGUGUCCCCCAGCAUGCAAUUCAAAAUGCACUUGCACAGCUCACAGGCUGCAGCCUUUAUUACUCACUCUAGCUUUGCUUACAAAAAGAAAAAAAAAAAAAGUCAACCUCUAAUAUUCAAAAGGGAAUCAUAUUCUGAAAAUCACCACCCACAGGCAAAUCAAAUUGGUGUACACUUCGUGAAUGUGAUGUUUUAGUCAUCUGGUAUGCAAGGCGAAUUCUGCGUGUGAUUCUUAAAAUCAGCUGUGACAGCCUUCAAAUCCUUGCUACACUCACUAGAAACAACGUGAGGUCACUGUAAUUGUUUUCAAGUUAUUUAACGCAGCAUUUCCCUGACGAGGGCAGGAAUUUUGCUUUUUUUUUUUCCAUUUUUUUAAUUUUGAAUGUAGGUGUUUCUAUUUUCUCAGUAUUGGAAAGACAGCGUAUGCAUUUUAUUAACGCAGUAGAAUUUGCAGGUAACUUCAGUAAAAUCCUACAACAACCAAUUUGAAAUUGUUUUUACUUAAAGGGUAGCAAGGGGAUACAAGUGUUUUCCUGGCAGAUUAGUAAUUAAAUGUAUGCAACGUUAUAAAAAGAUAUUUUUGAUUUUCAUUCUUGGCACAUAAUACAGGGAGUAUUGAUUUAAAAUCCCUUAAAAAGGAACUUCCAGUUAAAAUCUUAAACUCUGAAAUUUGAAUAUUGUAUUUUCCUCAGAGCAUGCUGAACACAUCUGAUAUACAAACCUCUCCCAUUUCUUGUCUUAGUUGUUGGAAUUCUUGCUUUUCCAUUUCCAACUUUUGCCUACGCUCCUCUUCCGUGCGUCUCUUUUCUUCUUCCAUCUUUUGUCUCAGCAUCUCCUCAAAAUUAAUUUCCAGUUUACCAGGGAUGAGAGAUUCUUGAGAAAAUGUUUUAAACAUUUCCGGUGAUUCAUCAUCAUCCAGCACCAUGUUCUUCCGUGCUUCAGCAAACGCCCUUCUCUCUUCUUCUAUGCGUCUUCUUGCAUCUUGUUCUGCUCUCCUCUUUUCCUCUUCUCUCCUCAGUCUUUCCAUCUCCUCAAAACUGAGCCUAAGUUUACCAGGACGGAAUUCUCUACCAGAAUUUUCAGAUUCUUCAUGGCCACCUUCAUUUA